rnacentral:rRNA from 1 species
AUGGCCGACGGCGUCCUCUCGUCUGCCGUCCACCCGAACGGGCACUCCCCGGAGUUCGUCUUCAGGCAGUACCGCGGCCGCCGCGCCGGCAUUGUGAAGGCCCUCACCGAAGAUGUGGAGGAGUUCUACGAGCAGUGCGACCCUGACGAGAAGGCCUUGUGCCUCUUUGGACUGCCUGAUGGGACCUGGGAAGUGAGUCAACUACCUGAGGAGAUCCCUGUUCAACUUCCUGAGCCAGUAUGUGGGAUAAACUUUGCUCGUGAUGUUACACCCAAGAAAGUUUGGCUAUCUAUGAUAGCUAUUCAUAGUGAUGCAUGGUUAAUGUCCAUAGCAUUUUACCACGCGGGUCGUGUCUCAUUUGACAGAGUUGGCAGGGAACAGCUCUUCAGGUUGAUCAAUCGUCUUCCCACUGUCUAUGAAGCUGUGACAGGAAGCUAUGAGAGGCAAGCACAGACCGCCAACGGCAGCAGGAAAAAUAAGUCCAGCUCCCAGCCACCAAACCAAUUCACUUCUAACUGCAAGCCGGUGACACCGGCCCUGCCGACGCCCAAGGAAGAUAACUACGCCGAUUUUAACAGCUGGACGGUAAUGGAGGACCGGCCAAUGCUCAAGGAAGAGGAUGGUGGCAAAGAGGGUGGAGGCGGCGAGGAUCAAGCUAUAACCAAGUGUGCCGGUUGCAAGGAGAUCUACAGCGCUAACGACGGGCACCUAUGGAUUGGCUGCGACCACUGUCAGAGGUGGUUCCACGGCAAGUGUGUCGGCGUGACUGCUGAGAUGGCGAGCCGAAUCGAGGACUACAUGUGCCCUGGUUGCAGCUACAAAGCCACGACAAAAGCUUCUGACUCAAUAUAG